GACGUUCGAGAAAUUUGAAGUCUGCGUUUAUUUUUGUAAAUAUUGUAUCGAAUCGGACUAUGUAUCUUUUGUGUUGGGCUGUCACUUGAAGCUGGAAAAGUGUAGACCCUGUGUUUCGGCUUGUAUGAAAGUUUUUAAAUUUUAUGAUUUCACUUUAUAGUUUGUAAUGUAUAAAGAUAGUUAUGUGUUAAGCUAGUUGGAGUUGUAUCUUAAGAGUGGAUGUUCACAUGCCGUUGGCUAUGUUAUCUCUGAAAUUAAUGUGUGUUAGUAUUCCAAUCGUUUAAAAGUUUGGCAUGUUCAGAUGACGAAUUGUACUUCGGUUUAAGUUAUACGUGAAUAUUGGUCGGUUUGCUUGCAUGAGUCCUGGCGAGAGUUAGGCAGGCAACCCGCCAACCCUCUGGUUCACCUUAGGGAGAAGUGGGGUCACCACAGUGAUACCCCGACUUUUAAGAUAUUACGGUUUCUAUAUUUU
rnacentral:lncRNA from 1 species